UACGUAGGGUGCAAGCGUUAAUCGGAAUUACUGGGCGUAAAGCGUGCGCAGGCGGUUGUGCAAGACCGAUGUGAAAUCCCCCGGGCUUAACCUGGGAAUGGCAUUGGUGACUGCACGGCUAGAGUGUGUCAGAGGGGGGGUAGAAUUCCACGUGUAGCAGUGAAAUGCGUAGAGAUGUGGAGGAAUACCGAUGGCGAAGGCAGCCCCCUGGGAUAACACUGACGCUCAUGCACGAAAGCGUGGGGGAGCAAACAGG
rnacentral:rRNA from 1 species